ensembl:snoRNA
AAGACUAGCAUUGGAUCCUGACACACCUCUUGUCCUGGUGUGCUUGAGUUCUGGUAGAGAACAUGCUGGUCUUGACUCGCUAGUGGGGGCAAUCGAUGCCCCUGCCAGGGCCCAGAUUGGAAAUAUAU